GCAUAACGCGAAGAACCUUACCAAGGCUUGACAUAAUACUGAAUAUGUUGGAAACAACAUAGUCCUUCGGGACAGUAUUACAGGUGGUGCAUGGUUGUCGUCAGCUCGUGUCGUGAGAUGUUGGGUUAAGUCCCGCAACGAGCGCAACCCUUGUCAUUAGUUGCCAUCAGGUAAAGCUGGGCACUCUAAUGAGACUAUCGGUGAUAAACCGGGGGAAGGUGGGACGACGUCAAAUCAUCAUGCCCCUUAUGUCUUGGGCUACACACGUACUACAAUGGCUAUUACAACAGGCAGCUAAGGAGUAAUCCGGAGCAAAUCCCAAAAGAUAGUCCCAGUUCGGAUUGUGGGCUGCAACUCGCCCACAUGAAGUCGGAAUUGCUAGUAAUUGCAGGUCAGCAUACUGCAGUGAAUACGUUCCCGGGUCUUGUACACACCG
rnacentral:rRNA from 1 species